GAGGGAAUAGCUCAGUGGUAGAGCACAUACUUAAUAUGCACGAGAUCUUGGGUUUAAUCCCCAGGAUCUUCU
rnacentral:tRNA from 1 species